GAUGUACUCCCUCCGUCCAACAAAGGAUGUCUCAAUUUUGACUAAAUUUGAAUGCAUCUAUACACUAAGUCAUGUCUAGAUACAUCCAAAUUUUGACAAACUUGAGACAUCUUUUGUUGGACGGAGGGAGUACUAA
rnacentral:pre_miRNA from 1 species